rnacentral:rRNA from 1 species
AUAAAAAUUGUAGAAUUUAAUUUUUAAGUUAAAAAGCUUAAAUAAUUAUAAAAGACGAGAAGACCCUAUAGAGCUUUAUAUUUUUAUUGAAUAUAAUUAAUUAAGAUUUAUAAAAGUUUUAUUUAUAAAAUUAUUUUAUUGGGGUAAUAGAAAGAUUAAAAAAAUUCUUUUUGAUUAUUAACAUUAAUUUAUGAUUUUUUAAUGAUCCAUUAUUAUUGAUUAUAAGAUUAAGUUACCUUAGGGAUAACAG